UUUUAUUUUUUUAUUUUUUUUAUUUUUUGGCAGAGACAGUGUCGCCUUAUGUUGCCCAGGCUGAACACCUGUGUCUCUUAACCUAAGAGCUGUCUCCAGCACAGGAUGCAAGACAGCCCCAAAAAAGUGUUAGGGACUUAAAGCCACCAGAAGCUUUUCUUAACCAAUGGAAUACAGGAGUCAAUGGAUAAAAGGGAGAGACACAACUGGCUCCAGCCCUUUUCCUGCCUCUUCCUGCUUUGAAUACUCACAUGAUACCUGGAGCUGCAGCAGCCAUCUUGUUUACCAAGAAGAAAAGCCAAGAUGAUCACAGAAUAGCCAGCACUGGUAUUGUUCCGCCAGCGACAGCAGAUACUUACCUCCAGAUUUUUGGGGAAAAAAAAUGGCAGGAGGCAUCCGUGAAGGCAAAGAUUCUGUCUGUUCUGCUGAUUUCGGUGGUCCCAGCACCCAGAAUAGUACUGCACGCAAAAGCUUAUCUGUUGAAUGAAUAAUGUGUGAACGAAUGCACUAGGUUAUGAAUCGGGCACCGGCAUUCAGGGAGCACGCCGGACUCUCAUCACAACACUAUAGCUUUAGUACUGAAAAUUCCUCCGCCGGGCGCGCUGGCUCAUACCUGUGAUCCCAGCACUUUAGGAGACCAAGGUGGGUGGAUCACCUGAGGUCAG
rnacentral:lncRNA from 1 species